AUCCGAGUGGUGGAAUGGUAGACACAACACACUUAAAUUGUGUAGACAUAAUGUCAUAAAGGUUCAAGUCCUUUUUCGGAUA